AUUAGAUACGAAGAGAAAGAAAAGAUAUUAUAUUUUAAAUUUAUAUAAUAUAGCUAGGAAGUCAACUUAAUAAUAAUGAUGAAAUUAGUUAGAAAUAAACAUAUUACUAAAAAUAUUAAUUCUAAAGUAUAAACCGAGUUUCCAGAUUCGUGUCAAUAAAUAUAACUUUGAAUUUAAAUCAUUCAUCUUCCUAGACUUAAUAUCUAGGCAUAUUGAUUCCCUAUUGUGUGUGUUUAAACAAUAAAGAGCAUUUUUUAUUACACCUCUUGAAAAUAUUUCAUUCAUUAUAUUGGUUGUGAAGCCUAACUAUUAUUACGCCCUUGAAAAUCAAACAAAUGAAAAGUUUAAAGUAGCGGUUACAGCUGUGUAAUGUAAGGAAUAAUAAUGCUGUAUUCCUCAAGGCUCCCUUUCUCCUCUCCUUUCCUGAUCCUAGUAUUUUUUCUUCCUUUUUAAAUCCCUACAUUUUAGGGAUGAAGGAGGCCAAUUAUUAUCAAGUAAAAUAUAAACUCUUAUAAUUUACCCUUAUUCUAACUAGCUAUUAUUGCUAACAACAAUAUAUUCCAUUAAAAAUAUGUUUUAAAAAGAUCGUGUAAUAUUUAAUAUUUCUUUUCCAGCUGAAUAUAUUAUAUCUCAAAAGGGAAGACGCUUGCUAAGGUUUAAUGACUACACAUACUAUUCGAGACCUAACUGUGGAAAUAAGACCAGGUGGAUCUGUUCGACACACAACAACAGGAAGUGCCACGCGACCGUGCAUACUGUCAACGAUGUUAUCGUCUAUACAAACGACAUACACACACAUCCACCGAACAUUAAGAAUAAAAAACACAAUACCAUUAAAUGUGGAAUACGUGAUGUCCCAGAAAGGAAAACGUCUCAUAAGACUAAACGGCUACACUUACUCAUCAACUAGUAGUUCCGGUGUUAAAAUCAGAUGGAAGUGUUCAACUCACAACAAUCGCGGAUGCCUCGCGAUUCUUCAUACUGUAGGAGACGAAAUCGUCCUUCAGCGAGACGCGCACACCCACCCACCCCCAUAUUAUAAUUUAAAAAAUGCAAUGGUUGAUAUCCAGAAGAGGCAAAGAUUUGAUUAAAAUAAACGGAUACACAUACUCGAGACGGCCCGGCGGGAACUUCAAACUGAGAUGGAAGUGUUCCACACACCAGCCGCAGGGAUGUAAAGCAAUCAUUCACACUGUAGGAACUGACGUCUACAUGAAAAACGUUAAACAUAUACACCCUCCCAUACCUUAAACCUUGUUUUUAUUUCACCCAAUACUACUUAAAAAAAUUCAGCAUGUUCGACAGCAGUUAUCAGACAAAAUCGUUAGUCCAAAAUGUGUUGCAUUCAAUGUGAGCAUUUAUAAAGUGUCUUAUUUCAGUUGAGUACGUGAGAUCAAGGAGAGGGAAGCUGAUGCUGAAAGUCAACGGAUACACAUAUUCAUCAACCCCAGGAGUCGGCUUGAAGAAACGUUGGAAGUGUUCCACCCAUCAACACCUGGGCUGCAAGGGUUCUGUACACACAGUCAACGAACAAGUACUGAAGGUCAACGAGACACACGACCAUCCGCCACAAAAAAGAUGAAACAUCGAAGUUGAAUUAUAUUUUACAUUAUCUUAUGAGCAUUUCACUGUCACCGACUGUUGCUUUAUUUUAUUUACCUGUUAUGUAUGGUUUUACCACAAUUUUAAUAGAAAUUUAGUCUAGAAAAGGAUUAAAAUAUAUUAAUCUGUUUAUAUUGAUGGUGUAAAUUGAAGGAUUACUUUUAAAUCAUAUCGUUAAUCUUAAAAAGAUUAUAUAAUUUUUUUAACCCUCAAAUAUAUUUACAAAGAUGGUUUUAAUACUGAUGAUAAACAUUUUUCAGUCGAAUACAUAAUAUCACAGAAGGGAAAAAAGUUAAUAAAACUACAAGGGUACACGUAUUGUUCAACACCGGCUAGGGGUGAGAAAACCAGGUGGCGCUGUUCCACUCACUACCCUCAGGGUUGCAGAGCAUUCGUUAUUACUAUUGGAGACGAAAUCAUUUGUAUCAACGAAAACCAUAAACAUUGAUCAGUUAAAAGUUACUUGAAUUGUGAUUAUGACAAUCAUAUACAAAAUAUUUUUUUGUAAAUGAAUAUAAACGAUCUGAAAUACAUAAAAAACUGGCUUUUUAACAUUGCCCUAUGAUUUGAAAUUAAUAAACGAUUGAUGACUACGAAUUGACUUCAUAUUAUUUAAGUUAUUAUACUUUUUAGCUGAAUACGUGGCGUCAAAGGAAGGCGGGACUUUGAUUAAAUUGAACGACUUCACUUACAACUUAUCGUCACAGAACGGGCCAAAAUCGAAGUGGCAAUGUUCUACGCACGCUGCACACGGCUGUCACGCUAUCUUCCCCUUCCCCGAUACAUAAGAAAUAAAAAAGGCUACAUACUAUUAAUGUUUAAUGGAUUCACUUAUCAUAUGAAAGUGCAGCGGGACGAAAAGAAAAUUUGGAGAUGUUCAAGAUACAACACGAUGAAAUGUCGGUCAACCGUCACCACCCACGGUGAGGUCGUGGUCCUCAUCAAAAACGAACACAACCAUCCGCCGCCAUCACGUGAUAUAUAAAGAAAAAUAUACUCAAAAAUAAAAUAUCGUACAUAAAUAA